UAUCCAGCGAGCCAAUCAGUGCUCCGCAGGUCAGAGGUGCCGCCCACUGAACUAAGUCAGAGAUGAAAGCUGUACAGCGGUCUUUGCUAACGGUGUGUGCAUGCCUAUGAAAGAAACCACACACACAUGCGAAGCAGAAUUUCUUCAGUGUACUGAGUUGUGGUGACAAUAAAUGGGUUAUUCCCGCAUACCUGAUGCUUCAUAGCGUGUGUAUCAAACGAUAAAUUCUCAUAACAGAAAGAAGAGCUAGCAGUAGCAACUCAUUUUGAUAUUUUCCUUUUCUGUUGUUCUCUGAUUAGACUUGUAUUUACAGGCACAACAGUCACACUGGUGAAUUCCAGAAAUCUUUUGCCUUUUCUGUUUUUGAGCAAGAACGUUUGAUUAGCUCAGCUUUUUGCUCAAGGGUUAAAUGUAAAAUUUAAAACCAGCUGUCUAGUUCUUGUUUCCUCAAUUUGCAUACACCGUUUCAACACACUAACUUCCACCAGGCUUGGAACUGGUGCAACUUGUCCUCAAAAGCAUAUUUCUUAAGCUUCUAAAACAUUUCAGAAAAAAAAAUAUUAAUCCUGCAAGGAAAAGGAAUGCUGUGACUUGUUUUUAUGACCACAUUUGUGUAUGAGACAAACCUUCUGCACAUGCUCAGACCUGAGAGACCUUGCAUGCAAACCACAUCCUGAUUCACUCAAGAUACAAGUAAGAUACUGCUGUAAGAUUUGAGGAUUUUACUAAAUCAGCUCACCUGUUCAAACAGAUCACUUCAAACUCCUAGACAAGCCAUGGAUUUUGAGAACAGCAAAGAAGGAUGUAAAAACUGCAAAAAGAAUUGCAAUAACAAUUGCCAAUGUCAUUGUCAUACAAUAACCCAAAGUCCUAAACCUAAGCAAAGGGCUGAGGAGAAGACGUCUGAAGGGCCUUCAAAAGAGUGCGGCUCCUGUGAUUGCAGCUACUGUUAUUUCGUCCCUUGUGACUGUGGCCCUUGUGAUUGUGGAUCCGGUGAUGGUGGUUCUGGUGAUGGUGGUGCCGGUGAUGGUAGCUCAUGUGAUUGCGGACCCUGUGAUUGUGGACCUUGUGAUUGCAGCUCCUGUGAUUGCGGCUCCUGUGAUUGCGGCUCCUGUGAUAUUCAGUGAAUGUUUGCAGGAUGUUGAUCAGACACUAAUUCAUCUGUCUGGAGUGGAUGGAUUUGUGGAGACAACGCAGUACUCAGGACAGGUUUCAGCUCCAGUGAAGAACAUCAUCAACACAAAGACAACAGCACUAUGAUCUACAAUAAAUGACAGGACAUCUGUAGUGCCAUCGUGGAUGUUAAACAUCAUAAAGACAAUAUUAUCUAUACAUAUAAAUACAGUUCCAACCAAAAUAUCAAAGUAAAUUAAAUAGCAAAUCAGUUAAAUGCUAAAUUUCUUUCCAGUGCUCUGAAUAUCUGUACUUUUUAAGAAAUUUUUCAUGUUUUAAUUUUAUUUAUUUUUUUUAGAUUUUACAACGAGACCAUUGUUUCUCAACUCUGAGAUGAUUUUUAUAAUUUUUGUAAACAGGACAUUAUGCACUCAUUAUUUGUGAGGGGUAGGAGUGAAGGUGGAGGGAGGGGUGCUCGUCAUGAAUGUCAUGUGACACAGCAACCACGAUAGCACUCUAUAACUGAUAUAGGUCUAUGCUUUAUCUUUAUUUGAUCUUUUUAUUCAAAAUAUUCCUAAAUAGGUUAACUAUAUCCUGAAAUAUCUUGAUUCUCAAAUAUGAGUAAUACGUAUUACAUCUUACUUAGUCUUAAAAAGUCUUACAAAGCAAUUUGCCUUAUACAUUUACAGCAAAACCAGAGUACAGGCAGUUUUAGCUUAAAAAUAAAAAGAAUAUAAUCAAUAAUUAUGAAUUACAAAAUUAUAAUAGCCUAUUUGAAAAAUAAAUUGUUAGCUGAUGCUAACUGGCUAGCUAACUAGCUACCUGAUGCUAACUUGAGGUAAUUUUUAAAUAUAAAGUCCAAAUAUUUUUAUUCAACCAACUCAACCAUGUUUAUUCAAAGAUUUGAUGAAAAAAACCAAGGAUUUGAUGUUCAGAACAGAAUAACUACAGUAAUUGCCCAUUGCCCCCUGGGCGCAUUUUGCCCCACUAUGUUUGAGAAAACAAUUCUGUAAUUCUAAAUAUAAUUAUAUUUACCUUAAAUAACAUGUACUUCCCAUCUACGGGCCCUACUGUUUUCAUAACAUAUAUAACCUGUGAUUUUCUACAAAACGAAUUUUUCUUAUUGCUUAAAAUUAGAUCAAUUACUGUGAAAUGUAUUUUCUCUCAGGUACAUCACCAGUGUGAGCUUCAUCGUGAAUACUUCUACAUCACUCUUGUCAAUGCAGUUCAUGGUGAAAAUAAAAUUUAUCUUGA